CUCCGGGUGAUCCCGCCGGACCCGACUGCUAUCGGAUUGAGAUUUAGCCAUGCGAGUCGAACGUUCCCCUGUUGCGGGGAGCGUGGCGUACGGCUCAGUAACACGUAGUCAACCUGCCCUGGAGACAAGGACAACCCCGGGAAACUGGGAUUAAUCCUUGAUAGGUCAUCUCAUCUGGAAGGAGAGAUGGCUUAAAGGGGUACGCGGGCUUCUUCCGCGAAUUCGCUCCAGGAUGGGACUGCGUCCGAUCAGGCUGUUGGCGGGGUAAUGGCCCACCAAACCUGUAACCGGUACGGGCCUUGAGAGAGGUGGCCCGGAGAUGGACACUGAGAGAAGGGUCCAGGUCCUACGGGGCGCAGCAGGCGCGAAACCUUCGCAAUGCGCGAAAGCGUGACGAGGUUAAUCCGAGUGACUCCCGCUGAGGGGGUCUUUUGUCAGCUGUAAAUAGGCAGGCGAAUAAGGGGAGGGCAAGCCUGGUGUCAGCCGCCGCGGUAAUACCAGCUCCUCGAGUGGUCGGGGCGAUUAUUGGGCCUAAAGCAUCCGUAGCCGGUUCCGUAGGUCCUCUGUUAAAUCCAACCGCUCAACGGUUGACCUGCAGAGGAUACCGCGGGACUAGGAGGCGGGAGAGGCGGACGGUACUCCGCGUGUAGGGGUAAAAUCCUUUGAUCCGCGGAAGACCACCAGUGGCGAAGGCGGUCCGCCAGAACGCGCUCGACGGUGAGGGAUGAAAGCUGGGGGAGCGAACCGGAUUAGAUACCCGGGUAGUCCCAGCCGUAAACGAUGCUAGCUAGAUGAUUCAUUCGCAAGUCGCGAAUGAAGUGUCGCAGGGAAGCCGUUAAGCUAGCCGCCUGGGGAGUACGGUCGCAAGACUGAAACUUAAAGGAAUUGGCGGGGGAGCA
rnacentral:rRNA from 1 species